UACGGAGGGGGCUAGCGUUAUUCGGAAUUACUGGGCGUAAAGCGCACGUAGGCGGCUUUGUAAGUAAGAGGUGAAAGCCCGGAGCUCAACUCCGGAACUGCCCUUUAGACUGCAUCGCUUGAAUCCAGGAGAGGUGAGUGGAAUUCCGAGUGUAGAGGUGAAAUUCGUAGAUAUUCGGAAGAACACCAGUGGCGAAGGCGGCUCACUGGACUGGUAUUGACGCUGAGGUGCGAAAGCGUGGGGAGCAAACAGG
rnacentral:rRNA from 1 species